rnacentral:rRNA from 1 species
UACGGGGGGUGCGAGCGUUGUCCGGAAUCGCUGGGCGUAAAGGGCGCGUAGGUGGUUUGAUAAGGGUGUGGUGAAAGUCCGGAGCUCAACUCCGGAUCUGCCGUGCCGACUGUCAAACUCGAGGGCUGUAGAGGCAGACGGAAUUCCGGGUGUAGCGGUGGAAUGCGUAGAGAUCCGGAGGAAGACCGGUGGCGAAGGCGGUCUGCUGGGCAGUUUCUGACACUGAGGCGCGACAGCGUGGGGAGCAAACAGG